UCACUCUAGUGUCUCCUCACUUGAGGAUAAAUCUUUCGCCUUUUACUAAAGAUUUCCGUGAGGAGACAGGAAACAAUCAGUCGAAACUCAUUUUUUACAACCCCUUGAUCCAGAGAGCGG
rnacentral:snRNA from 1 species